GGUGUAUCUUAUUUCUGUGGUCAUUAGCACGUGUAAGAGGAAUGAGGUUUUCUCACUGUGAGAUAGCUGGACUGGUUGAUAACUUUUCAUAGUUGUUCACUGUGAGUUAUUUAUAAAAUAAAUCAUGGGUAAAUUAUUGCUUAGUUUUUGUAUGUUCACAGAUCCCAAGCAGGAAGAAAAACACUGCAGUAACCCAGACUGUGCCUCCACAGAACAACAUAUUCUCUCUGAGGUAGCUGUCUUAAUGUGAAACCUGGAGUGUGGAACAAGAAUGGUGCACAGAGGGGCACAUCUUGGUGCCUCAGUGAGUAGCAGGGCACCUGGCAGAACUGUACUGUGCACCCCUGCUCGCCUCUGCCCUCUGCCAUCUGAGCUGCAGUGCUGCUGGGAGAGAACUACAGCACGUGUAGACAAAAGGGACUUCUCAAGCUCUGUUGUGUGCAGCUGCCCAAGACUCCCACUGUGUCUGCAUUCAUGGGUUUCAAGAGAGGUGGACAAUUUCCAAGCCAAAGGAAACUUUGCUUCUGCUUUAAACUUCACAGCUGGCUGUGCUAACAAGCCUGUGUUCAAAGCAUAAAUAAGCACCUGCUUGAAGAGUGUAUAUGUGGAUGGUAACAGAAAAAGAGGAAAGCAAAAUGUAGGUUAAGAGCUAAGCCAGUCUGAAACUCAAUGUGAACAUUUGUUUUUUGGACUCCUGACAGAGAUUUUGCAGAUAGAAGUCAAUCAUGUAAUAAAUCCUUCCAAGGAAACUGUAUGCUAAAUAUC
rnacentral:lncRNA from 1 species